GACGAACGCUGGCGGCGUGCUUAACACAUGCAAGUCGAACGAUGAACCAGGGCUUGCCCUGGGGAUUAGUGGCGAACGGGUGAGUAACACGUGGGCAACCUGCCCCAGACACCGGGAUAACCUCUCGAAAGAGUGGCUAAUACCGGAUACGACCACUUUGGGCAUCCAACGGUGGUGGAAAGGAUUCUGGUCUGGGAUGGGCCCGCGGCCUAUCAGCUUGUUGGUGGGGUAAUGGCCUACCAAGGCGACGACGGGUAGCCGGCCUGAGAGGGCGACCGGCCACACUGGGACUGAGACACGGCCCAGACUCCUACGGGAGGCAGCAGUGGGGAAUAUUGCGCAAUGGGCGAAAGCCUGACGCAGCGACGCCGCAUGAGGGACGAAGGUCUUCGGAUUGUAAACCUCUUUCAGCAGGGACGAAGCGAAAGUGACUGUACCUGCAGAAGAAGCACCGGCUAACUACGUGCCAGCCGCCGCAGUAAGAC
rnacentral:rRNA from 1 species